UACGGAGGAUGCGAGCGUUAUCCGGAUUUAUUGGGUUUAAAGGGUGCGCAGGCGGCGUGUCAAGUCAGCGGUAAAAUGUCGGGGCUCAACCCCGGCCGGCCGUUGAAACUGGCGUGCUCGAGUUGGAGAGAAGUAUGCGGAAUUCGUGGUGUAGCGGUGAAAUGCAUAGAUAUCACGAAGAACCCCGAUUGCGAAGGCAGCAUACCGGCUCCACACUGACGCUGAGGCACGAAAGCGUGGGUAUCGAACAGGA
rnacentral:rRNA from 1 species